GACGAACGCUGGCGGCGUGCUUAACACAUGCAAGUCGAACGAUGAAGGAGAGCUUGCUCUCCGGAUUAGUGGCGAACGGGUGAGUAACACGUGACUAACCUGCCCCUUUCUCUGGGAUAACGCUCCGAAAGUAGUGCUAAUACCGGAUACGAACUCUGAACACAUGUUCGGAGUUGGAAAGUUUUUCGGAAAGGGAUGGAGUCGCGGCCUAUCAGCUUGUUGGUGAGGUAACGGGUCACCAGGGCGACGACGGGUAGCCGGCCGUAGAGGGCGAACGGCCACACGGGGCCUGAGACGCGGCCGAGACUGCUACGGGAGGCAGCAGUGGGGAAUAUUGCACAAUGGGCGAAAGCCUGAUGCAGCAACGCCGCGUGAGGGAUGAAGGCCUUCGGAUUGUAAAACUCUUUUAGUAGGGAAGAAGCGAAAGUGACGGUACCUACAGAAAAAGCACCGGCUAACUACGUGCCAGCAGCAGCCGCAG
rnacentral:rRNA from 1 species